rnacentral:rRNA from 1 species
GAUGAACGCUGGCGGCGUGCUUAACACAUGCCAGUCGAACGGAAAGGCCCAAGCUUGCUUGGGUACUCGAGUGGCGAACGGGUGAGUAACACGUGGGUGAUCUGCCCUGCACUUCGGGAUAAGCCUGGGAAACUGGGUCUAAUACUGGAUAGGACCACUUCUUGGAUGUUGUGGUGGAAAGUUUUUUCGGUGUGGGAUGAGCUCGCGGCCUAUCAGCUUGUUGGUGGGGUAAUGGCCUACCAAGGCGUCGACGGGUAGCCGGCCUGAGAGGGUGUACGGCCACAUUGGGACUGAGAUACGGCCCAGGCUCCUACGGGAGGCAGCAGUGGGGAAUAUUGCACAAUGGGCGCAAGCCUGAUGCAGCGACGCCGCGUGGGGGAUGACGGCCUUCGGGUUGUAAACUCCUUUCGCUAGGGACGAAGCGUUUUGUGACGGUACCUGGAGAAGAAGCACCGGCUAACUACGUG